rnacentral:rRNA from 1 species
CCUACGGGCGGCUGCAGUGGGGAAUAUUGCGCAAUGGGCGAAAGCCUGACGCAGCGACGCCGCGUGAGGGAUGAAGGUCUUCGGAUCGUAAAACCCUGUUGUUAGAGAAGAAAGUGCGUGAGAGUAACUGUUCACGUUUCGACGGUAUCUAACCAGAAAGCCACGGCUAACUACGUGCCAGCAGCCGCGGUAAUACGUAGGUGGCAAGCGUUAUCCGGAUUUAUUGGGCGUAAAGGGAACGCAGGCGGUCUUUUAAGUCUGAUGUGAAAGCCUUCGGCUUAACCGGAGUAGUGCAUUGGAAACUGGGAGACUUGAGUGCAGAAGAGGAGAGUGGAACUCCAUGUGUAGCGGUGAAAUACGUAGAUAUAUGGAAGAACACCGGUGGCGAAAGCGGCUCUCUGGUCUGUAACUGACGCUGAGGUUCGAAAGCGUGGGUAGCAAACAGGAUUAGAUACCCCUGUAGUC